rnacentral:rRNA from 1 species
UACGUAGGGGGCAAGCGUUGUCCGGAUUUAUUGGGCGUAAAGAGCGUGUAGGCGGCCAGACAAGUCUGCUGUGAAAACUCGAGGCUCAACCUCGAGCUGUCGGUGGAAACUGUCUGGCUAGAGUCCGGAAGAGGAGAGUGGAAUUCCUGGUGUAGCGGUGAAAUGCGCAGAUAUCAGGAAGAACACCUAUGGCGAAGGCAGCUCUCUGGGACGGUACUGACGCUGAGGCACGAAGGCCAGGGGAGCAAACGGG